rnacentral:rRNA from 1 species
AAUAUUUGACAAUGGGGGCAACCCUGAUCCAGCAAUGCCGCGUGAGUGAUGAAUGCCUUAGGGUUGUAAAGCUCUUUUACCCGAGAUGAUAAUGACAGUAUCGGGAGAAUAAGCUCCGGCUAACUCCGUGCCAGCAGCCGCGGUAAUACGGAGGGAGCUAGCGUUGUUCGGAAUUACUGGGCGUAAAGCGCACGUAGGCGGCGAUUUAAGUCAGAGGUGAAAGCCCGGGGCUCAACCCCGGAACUGCCUUCGAGACUGGAUUGCUUGAAUCCUGGAGAGGUGAGUGGAAUUCCGAGUGUAGAGGUGAAAUUCGUAGAUAUUCGGAAGAACACCAGUGGCGAAGGCGGCUCACUGGACAGGUAUUGACGCUGAGGUGCGAAAGCGUGGGGAGCAAACAG